GAUGAACGCUAGCGGCAGGCCUAACACAUGCAAGCCGAGCGGUAGAGUCUCUUCGGAGACUUGAGAGCGGCGCACGGGUGCGGAACACGUGUGCAACCUGCCUUUAUCUGGGGGAUAGCCUUUCGAAGGGAAGAUUAAUACCCCAUAAUAUACUGGAUGGCAUCAUCUGGUAUUGAAAACUCCGGUGGAUAGAGAUGGGCACGCGCAAGAUUAGAUAGUUGGUGAGGUAACGGCUCACCAAGUCAGCGAUCUUUAGGGGGCCUGAGAGGGUGAUCCCCCACACUGGUGCUGGGACACCGACCAGACUCCUACGGGAGGCAGCAGUGAGGGAUGUUGGACAAUGGGUGAGAGCCUGAUCCAGCCAUCCCGCGUGAAGGACGACGGCGCUAUGGGUUGUAAACUUCUUUUGUAGAGGGAUAAACCUAGAUACGUGUAUCUAACUGAAGGUACUGUACGAAUAAGCACCGGCUAACUCCGUG
rnacentral:rRNA from 1 species